AGCAGCCGCGGUAAUUCCAGCUCCAAUAGCGUAUAUUAAAGUUGUUGCAGUUAAAAAGCUCGUAGUUGAAUUUCGGGAUCAAUAUGUUGGUCGUGCCUUGGUGCGCACUGGCAUCGUUGGUUUCUACCUUCUGAUGAACCAUGAUGCCAUUAAUUUGGUGCUAUGGGGAAUCAGGACUGUUACUUUGAAAAAUUAGAGUGUUUAAAGCAGGCUCACGCUUGAAUACAUUAGCAUGGAAUAAUGAAAUAGGACGUUUGAUUCUAUUUUGUUGGUUUCUAGGAUCGACGUAAUGAUUAAUAGGGAUAGUUGGGGGCAUUAGUAUUCAAUUGUCAGAGGUGAAAUUCUUGGAUUUAUUGAAGACUAACUACUGCGAAAGCAUUUUGCCAAG
rnacentral:rRNA from 1 species